rnacentral:misc_RNA from 1 species
GUACAUUUGAAGUUUUGAUCCAAACAUGGCCGAGAUGAUUAUGGACGGUAAGAAUUACCAAGACUACAUAGAUUGGAGACAGAAUUAAAUGCUAUUAUGAGUGAGAUCAAGACAAUGCAGUGACAUAUUCUGUGACUAUAUUUUAAAAAAGGGAAUGCAUAGCAAUGAAAAGAAAUUAUGGAAUUCUUUCUGACACAACAUAUUUCGC